rnacentral:misc_RNA from 1 species
AAUUUUAGAUAAACAAAAAUACAAGAGGAAAUCUAGAUAAAAUAGGAAACAACUAAUCCUAGUUGAAAUAGGAAAACUGGUAGAGUAAGGAACAAUGCCCACAACAAUAAUAAUAAAUGGAACAAGAAAUAAGUUAAGAAGGCAGGGAGCAUGAGCUUGAUUGUAUUAACAACUUCCCCAAGCCUAAAGCUGGACAAGACAAACAGAAGAAAUCAAAGACAUGCUCUCCUCAAGCUGCUCUGCCCUUAUUAUAGCUUCUCCUCCACUUCUUCACGCGAGUUUGUUAUAACUGAAUUCACCACCUUAGCACUUGCUUUAUCUCUUUUGAUUCUUCUGGAAUAAACUUUCCAAGCAGGCCAUUAAGACCCUGCUACUGCUGCGUAUCAUAUUGGCUCCUAAAAGAUGAGCCUUGUCACCGAAGUUGUAAUGAGCCCUGGCACCGGAUGGCCAUAAUUUGAGAUAAAACGCUUGUAGUAGCUUGUCAAACCAAGAAAUCCUCAUAUUGCUCUUAAAGUUUUGGGAAUGGGCUAGUGUAAUACGGCAGGGAUUUUAGCAGGUCCAUUUUAACACCAGUUUGAGAAAUCACAUGACUGAGAUAGUCAAUGGAUGUCCUGCCUAAGGCACAUUUCUUUGCAUUCGUAAAGAAAUGUUGUCGAAGAAUUUGGAGUGCCAAUUCUAGAUGUUGCAAAUGAUCCACCUAAGUUUUUCUAUAGAUCAAGAUAUUGUUAAAGAAUACGAGAAUGAAUUUGCGGAGAAAGGGCUUGAACAUGUCGUUCAUGGUGGAUUGAAAUGUUACUGGCGUGUUCAUCAAGCCAAAUGGCAUAACGACAAACUCAUAGUGCCGUAAAUGGGUGUGAAAUGUAGUCUUGUGGAUAUUUGGAUUUGUUACUCGGAUAUGAUGGUACUUGGACUUCAAGCUGAUUUUGGAAAAGAAACUAGCGCCAUGUAACUCAUUCUAGAGUUCUUGAAUGACAGGAAUUGGGUACUUAUUUGGAAUUGUAGCCUUAUUUAAUACAUUGUAAUCAACACAAAAAGGCCGAUUCCCAUCCUUUUUUUUUUUU